AGUGAACGCUGGCGGCAGGCCUAAUACAUGCAAGUCGAACGGCAGCACAGCAGAGCUUGCUCUGUGGGUGGCGAGUGGGCGGACGGGUGAGGAAUACGUGGGAAUCUGCCCAGUCGUGGGGGAUAACGUAGGGAAACUUACGCUAAUACCGCAUGCGCCCUUCGGGGGAAAGCCGGGGACCUUCGGGCCUGGCGCGAUUGGAUGAGCCCACGUCGGAUUAGCUAGUUGGCGGGGUAAAGGCCCACCAAGGCGACGAUCCGUAGCUGGUCUGAGAGGAUGAUCAGCCACACUGGAACUGAGACACGGUCCAGACUCCUACGGGAGGCAGCAGUAGGGAAUAUUGGACAAUGGGCGCAAGCCUGAUCCAGCCAUGCCGCGUGAGUGAAGAAGGCCCUCGGGUGUAAAGCUCUUUUGUCCGGAAAGAAAAGCGCCGGUUAAGUAACCCCUUGGGUGUUCCCUGACGGUACCGGAAGAAUAAG
rnacentral:rRNA from 1 species